UUCCCAUUUUUAUUGCCUAAGAUUUAUUUAUUAAUAUAUAUCAGGAGAAAAUAGAAACUUUCAAUUCACAAGUUCAAAAUUAUGUAUAAAACAUUGAAUGUCACCUUUUCCCUCAGCUCUCACCCCUCUUUAACCUGUUCAGUUGAGACCAGAGGGUGGGGCUGCCUGUCACAGAGUGUCAGCUGAGCAGGGUUUGUUGGCUGAGCUGAUUGGUUGCAGGAGCUGAAACAUCCAGACAAGUCAUGACACUCACCACCCAGGGUUUGCUAUGUAUCUUGUGAAUGUUUUCCAGCAACAAGGCAAAGCGUCAUGAAAAGGCUAGUGGACACCGUACUGGGGCUUUUGUUUGCCCAGGUUUGCUGUGUGAGAGGGAUGGAUGUGGAGCAGAGUCCCCCAGCCCUGAGUCUCCAGGAGGGAGCCAGCUCUACUCUGCGGUGUAAUUUCUCCAUCUUCCCAAACAGUGUGCAGUGGUAUCUUCAGAACCCCGUGGGCCGCCUCAUCCACUUGUUUUACAUUCCUUCAGGGACAAAGCAGGAUGGAAGAUUAAACUCCACCACAGUCCCUGCAGAACGCCGCAGCUCACUGCACAUUUCCUCUCCGCGGACCACAGACUCGGGCACUUACUUCUGUGCUGCGCAGCACGGUGCUCCCCAGGCACCUGCAGCCUCUACAGGAACCCUCCCGGGGCUCAGCCCCUCCUCCAGCCUCAGUCACACCGUGAGGCCCCCACAGGGCAUUUGCAGUGCUUCAUGUUACUCACCUGCAUCAGGACAGUUUUAACCACAGACACUGUUUGGCCCUACAGGUUACGGACUUCGAUCUCUAUCUCCCCUUCUCAGUCUGUGUCUCCUUCUUCACUAGAAACUUCGAAUUGGGAACUAGCAGAGUAGUUGAUAUGAGGACAGAAUUAAAAUAAAUAUUUAACCACAGCUUCCCAGGUGGCUCAGUGGUAAAGAAUCUGCUUACCAAUGCAGGAGAUGCAGGAGACAUGGGUUCGAUCCCUGGGUGGGGCAGAUCCUCUGGAGGAGGAAACGGUAACCCAUUCCAGUAUUCUUGGGAAAUACUGGGAAAUCUCAUGGACAGAGGAGCCUGGCAGACUAGCAGUCC